AAUGUACGUUGGAAUGUUACUCGACCAAAGAGAUUAUCUGUAUGUUGACACAAACAUUUGAUUAAGUUGGGAUGUUCUGUUUUAUCUUUAAAUAACAUGUACAAAUAAUGUAUUUGGAAACAUUAGAAACCCACGUGUUAUACCAACUAAAAGGAUCCAGACUACGACGUAUACUUUGAUUUUUUUGUUGUGAACAAAAAAAAUAGUUUGCGGCAGACAAAAGAGGACGACUGUCGCUUUCAACCUUGUUUAGCGCUUAUACGAUAAUCUCAGGAAGACAACCUCCCGUCUGAUCAGCAGCAUGUGCGUCACAUUCGUUCAAAAAUAGAACGUCUUAGUUAUGUGAGUGUAACUUUGCAUGUUAAAAAUCUGUACCUGCUUUCAACUACUUUUUUUGCGGAAUGCGCCCAGUGAAGACGUGAUUGUAUCUUUCUUAAUGUCGUAGGCCCCUCGCGUGCGCUUUACCUCUUACGUCAUUGAAUUAUGACGUGGGUUAAUAGUCUAGACACCCAAAUAUGGUCAACAGGACAACAAAGGAGAGAACUUGUGCGGGUUGGUUCACCGCGGUUUCAGUUGUCGUUCGAAAGUUUAAGGUCGUUUGAGGUUAAAACUGGGACAAAGAAAGCGAUAUCUUCUUGGGGUGAAUUAUGUCAAGCAGUUUUCAAAUGUUUUGGUAAAAUUACCGAUCGCUUUUCACCAAACAAGGGAAGAAUUUACCUGAUACAAAAAAAAAAUCGUUACCAGCGUUUUAUUUAUAGAAACCUUUUUACCGCGUUUUUUACCCUUCGCAGGGAAUGUGAGGGUGUCGCACCAAAUGUUUGCUUGGGAUAAAUAAGCCGGAGGCGACCGUGCCAUCUGCGAUGAAAUGCGUAAGUGUGGGUUUGUAGGACUGAAACAUUUCGCUGCGAAAUUUUGGCAGCUGCGUGUUCCACGCUUUGUUAUGACAAUGCAGGUUGACACAGAACCGCAGAGGGAGCGCCGUCGACACUUAUACGAAGCGCUGCUUAGUAGCGAGCAAUUUAAAUUACCCCAAACUGGCGAUAUACAAUGACAAAGCGAGGUGCCAUGAACGUGCUUGGGAUUCACCUUGAGAGAUUUUCAGCUGAGGCAAGUCUCGUCGCUGAGUUUUUAUAGACACACAGAGACACAGUGAUUGCGAAAUUCGAUCAUCUUACACCUCUGUCUAUCAAAGAAAUUGGGUAGGUGCCACCACGUGUUGACAAGCGUUGCAUUACAAUGUGUAUUCUGGUAUAUUACGCGAGAUUGGAUUGCUUUGCCACUGUUGGACAGCUUAACCUCGCGUCGUUGACAAACAUAAAUUAAAUGUAAAUCGCCCAUGCCAGUGUAAUACGGUAAUACGGUAGUAAGUAUGCGUGAGUAAUCACUAUAUCUUACAAAAACAAAUGAUUAGAUCGUAAUGGAGGAGAGUCUUCUACUAUGCGCGAGUGGUGGAAGCAAAGGUGGUGGAAGCAGCUCCACUGUGCCAAGCUAUCUCGUAAAACAUCGCUAUCUGCAAGCUAAUGCGGGUUGCGUGUCUUUACACAUUGCAGACAAGACACAACAAUUCUCUGUAUUCACUCUCAGCUUCCUAAUCCUCUUUCGUAGAGAAAACGGUUAAGCUUAAUCUGCGAUCGAUGGCUAUCAUAAUUCGAUGCGGUGUGGCUCAAGUUACCACCAUGAAGCAAGAUACGCUUUCAUCUAAUUUAGGAUAGCGUGAUCACUGAUAUUGUUUAUUUGACCAGGGCGUAAAUUUGCAAACGAUUUAGUUUUCUAGGAUAGGACCAAUUUAUCCAUUAUGUUGGUCGGAAUUUUUAAAUAGGUGAUGGGCGUAUAAAGUACUUGUUCAAACGCCCACAGCACGAAAGAAUAAACAAAUAAUGCGAAAACUUUUAAGAAGAGUUUUAACCGAAGGUAUAAAUGGUUUUCAGAAACGUACAGCACCGCGUUUAACCUUCGGAUUAGCAAUUUUUGUGGUCGGUGGCAACGUCAGACGCGGUUUGUGUUUAUGGAGUGUCAUCAAAAUAAACUAGAAGUGCAAACGUUAAGCACAAGAAACAACGAGGCGGACUCGAUUUAUACGGCGGCUACAGUUUAGAUUUAAUGCAAAUGAAGUGCAAGCAAGAUGUCGGCAACUUUCCAAAUUCUUCUUCGGUGAUCAAGGAACGCGCAAAAUCAACAUCAGGCAUCUUAAGUUUCACGCUUGACGUUUGUAACAAAAAAUAAAAUAAAAUAUGCUGAAAAA